rnacentral:rRNA from 1 species
CAGCCGCCGCGGUAAAACGAAGGGUGCAAGCGUUACUCGGAAUUACUGGGCGUAAAGCGUGCGUAGGUGGUGGUUUAAGUCCGUUGUGAAAGCCCUGGGCUCAACCUGGGAAUUGCAGUGGAUACUGGGUCACUAGAGUGUGGUAGAGGAUAGUGGAAUUUCCGGUGUAGCAGCGAAAUGCGUAGAGAUCGGAAGGAACAUCUGUGGCGAAGGCGACUAUCUGGGCCAACACUGACACUGAGGCACGAAAGCGUGGGGAGCAAACAGGAUUAGAGACCCGCGUAGUCCCUGUCUCUUAUAC